ACAUCCCGACUCGCACUCUCUGGAAACAGAGAGGUCAGUUCGGCUGGAUCGGUGGACAGGUGCUGCAUGGCUGUCGUCAGCUCGUGUCGUGAGAUGUUGGGUUAAGUCCCGCAACGAGCGCAACCCUCGUCCUUAGUUGCCAGCAUUAAGUUGGGCACUCUAAGGAGACUGCCGGUGUUAAACCGGAGGAAGGCGGGGAUGACGUCAAGUCCUCAUGGCCCUUAUGUCCAGGGCUACACACGUGCUACAAUGGCCGGUACAAAGGGUAGCAAGACCGCGAGGUGGAGCCAAUCCCAAAAAGCCGGUCUCAGUUCGGAUUGGAGUCUGCAACUCGACUCCAUGAAGUUGGAAUCGCUAGUAAUCGUGGAUCAGCAUGCCACGGUGAAUACGUUCCCGGGCCUU
rnacentral:rRNA from 1 species